rnacentral:tRNA from 1 species
ACUAUACCGGUUUUCAGACCGGAGCUAUCAACCACUCAGCCAUCUCUCCCGGAGUUC